UACGCAGGGGGCUAGCGUUGCUCGGAAUUACUGGGCGCAAAGCGCACGUAGGCGGCUUUCUAAGUCGGGGGUGAAAUCCUGGAGCUCAACUCCAGAACUGCCUUCGAUACUGGAGAGCUCGAGUCCGGGAGAGGUGAGUGGAACUGCGAGUGUAGAGGUGAAAUUCGUAGAUAUUCGCAAGAACACCAGUGGCGAAGGCGGCUCACUGGCCCGGUACUGACGCUGAGGUGCGAAAGCGUGGGGAGCAAACAGG
rnacentral:rRNA from 1 species